CCUACGGGUGGCAGCAGUGGGGAAUAUUGCACAAUGGGGGAAACCCUGAUGCAGCGACGCCGCGUGAGGGAAGAAGUAUUUCGGUAUGUAACGCUCUAUCAGCCGGGAAGAAAAUGACGGUACCUGACUCAGACGCCACGGCUAACUACGUGCCAGCAGCCGCGGUAAUGCGUAUGGAGCAAGCGUGAUCCGGAUUUACUGGGUGUAAAGGGAGCGUAGACGGCCAGACAAGUCAGAAGUGAAAGCCCAGGGCUCAACCCUGGGACUGCUUUUGAAACUGCCGGGCUGGAGUGCAGGAGAGGUAAGCGGAAUUCCUAGUGUAGCGGUGAAAUGCGUAGAUAUUAGGAGGAACACCAGUGGCGAAGGCAGCUUACUGGACUGUAACUGACAUUGAGGCUCGAAAGCGUGGGGAGCAAACAGGAUUAGAUACCCUAGUAGUC
rnacentral:rRNA from 1 species